rnacentral:rRNA from 1 species
AGAGUUUGAUCCUGGCUCAGAACGAACGCUGGCGGCGUGGAUAAGACAUGCAAGUCGAACGAGAGAAUUGCUAGCUUGCUAAUAAUUCUCUAGUGGCGCACGGGUGAGUAACACGUGAGUAACCUGCCCCCGAGAGCGGGAUAGCCCUGGGAAACUGGGAUUAAUACCGCAUAGUAUCGAAAGAAUAAAGCAGCAAUGCGCUUGGGGAUGGGCUCGCGGCCUAUUAGUUAGUUGGUGAGGUAACGGCUCACCAAGGCGAUGACGGGUAGCCGGUCUGAGAGGAUGUCCGGCCACACUGGAACUGAGACACGGUCCAGACACCUACGGGUGGCAGCAGUCGAGAAUCAUUCACAAUGGGGGAAACCCUGAUGGUGCGACGCCGCGUGGGGGAAUGAAGGUCUUCGGAUUGUAAACCCCUGUCAUGUGGGAGCAAAUUAAAAAGAUAGUACCACAAGAGGAAGAGACGGCUAACUCUGUGCCAGCAGCCGCGGUAAUACAGAGGUCUCAAGCGUUGUUCGGAAUCACUGGGCGUAAAGCGUGCGUAGGCUGUUUCGUAAGUCGUGUGUGAAAGGCGCGGGCUCAACCCGCGGACGGCACAUGAUACUGCGAGACUAGAGUAAUGGAGGGGGAACCGGAAUUCUCGGUGUAGCAGUGAAAUGCGUAGAUAUCGAGAGGAACACUCGUGGCGAAGGCGGGUUCCUGGACAUUAACUGACGCUGAGGCACGAAGGCCAGGGGAGCGAAAGGGAUUAGAUACCCCUGUAGUCCUGGCAGUAAACGGUGCACGCUUGGUGUGCGGGGAAUCGACCCCCUGCGUGCCGGAGCUAACGCGUUAAGCGUGCCGCCUGGGGAGUACGGUCGCAAGAUUAAAACUCAAAGAAAUUGACGGGGACCCGCACAAGCGGUGGAGUAUGUGGCUUAAUUCGAUGCAACGCGAAGAACCUUACCUGGGCUUGACAUGUAAUGAACAACAUGUGAAAGCAUGCGACUCUUCGGAGGCGUUACACAGGUGCUGCAUGGCCGUCGUCAGCUCGUGUCGUGAGAUGUUUGGUUAAGUCCAGCAACGAGCGCAACCCCUGUUGCCAGUUACCAGCACGUGAAGGUGGGGACUCUGGCGAGACUGCCCAGAUCAACUGGGAGGAAGGUGGGGACGACGUCAGGUCAGUAUGGCCCAUAUGCCCAGGGCUGCACACGUACUACAAUGCCCAGUACAGAGGGGGCCGAAGCCGCGAGGCGGAGGAAAUCCUAAAAACUGGGCCCAGUUCGGACUGUAGGCUGCAACCCGCCUACACGAAGCCGGAAUCGCUAGUAAUGGCGCAUCAGCUACGGCGCCGUGAAUACGUUCCCGGGUCUUGCACACACCGCCCGUCA